GUGGCGAACGGGUGAGUAACACGUAAGAAACCUGCCCCUUAGACGAGGAUAACCAUUGGAAACGAUGGCUAAUACUGGAUAGGAUAUUUAAUCGCAUGAUUUUAUAUUUAAAGGUGCUCUAAAGCACCACUAUGGGAUGGUCUUGCGCUGCAUUAGCUAGUUGGUAGGGUAACGGCCUACCAAGGCGACGAUGCAUAGCUGGUCUGAGAGGAUGAACAGCCACACUGGGACUGAGACACGGCCCAGACUCC
rnacentral:rRNA from 1 species